UUUCAUGUUUUUACAUCUGGGUUUUGUGAUGUCUAAAUGCUGAUGUCACUUUUGUCUUUGUCUCCUACACACUAUAAGAGAGGAGCAUAGGAUUUCACCACAGCAGCUCAAGGCGUUAAAACAAUUGCAUUAAAAAGAACAUCAUUACAUCACCCAGAGUAUAGACACUCAUGUGUGAUUGUUAAACAAUUCAGCCCAAAACCAUAGGCAUUUAUAAAGCUUGAUACACAGCAGGGGGUUCCAGCUUAUUUCCAAGCUGUGGGAUGUGGUUCAGGUCAAAUCGUGUUCUUUCAAAACAAACUGUGAAAGUUUCAAACUCCAGUGCGAAAUUUAGGUAUAAACUUUCAUUAAAGCGAAAGAGUCAAAGAGGACAACACAACCUUUUGGACAAGGUUACACACAUGAACACAUUAGUGUAUCUGCAGCGCAUGUGAGGCAUUUUAAGGGUCUGAUUCAUAACCUUACCCCCCACUCGACUGCUGCAACCUCCAGGAUAAUGUCAAAACAAUAUAUCAGUGCAUGAGUCUGUUGAUGUUAAUUUAAUAUUACCAUUUAUAUUAGAUCACUUAAACAAUAGCUCACUCUUCCAUUUUAAAGUUGUGCAGGUCUUUACAGUUUACUGUCAUGGUUUUUUGGAUAAUGUAGAUGAACCAUUUGGAGCAACUCUCUGCUGCUCAGAGCUGCACUGUGCACUCUCAUCCUGACAGGUGUAACGGUUAUGCUGCUGCAGCAUCAUUCCACUUUCUUCCUCAGGUUUGCAUGUUGGGAUGCAUGCAGGACCUAUACCAAAUAGAGAAAGCAACCAAACAGAAACUCCUGAAAAGUGCAAAUGCUACUGCACUGUUUGAAGAUCCCUGGACGUCACUGAGUAAUCUAAAUCUAAAAGUUAUUGCUUGCCAUUCUGGCUUCAUAUUAAUACAAAACAAAAAGUAAUAAAAACCCUAACCCUAACCCUACAAUUGAGGAUAAAUGUUACUUUUUUGAACCUUGUACAUUUUUAGAUUCAAAGUGACAGCAAUUAAAAUGUCUUUGAGCUAAAUGUAGCUGCCAGAAAACAAUAAUGAUAACGAGAGAGGCCGGCUCUUCUGAUAGCAGCAGGGAAGCUCCCCUCACUCAGAAGAGGAGUCAUGAUUUACACCACACCCACACGACAGAUUCAUACCUACUGCUGUGACAAAGACAUGUAUCAUUUCUCACGAAUGUCUCUGCGACGUGUCGGCGGCUCUGAAUAAAAUAUCAGCCUGCAAAGAAAGCGUUGUCUGCUGUGUGCAUACAGAGCUGCAGAGCCAAUCCAAAAUCAAAUAAAUAUUUCUUUCACUUUCUCUACUGUCACUGUUUUUUUUUCCUGGAACUGAUUUAAAUUUUAUAGCUGGAGUGGUCUGUCUUUGAGCGCAGGAAGGGAAUCUAUACUAACAGAAGAAAAACACAAACCCGAAAGGCUUUUCCCAACCAGCCAGGUAAUCCGAAACAGUAGCGAGACCUUAAAACACACACACACAUAUACACACACGCACACACGAAGAAGGCUCACAAACUGGGUCAAUCAAUCUCACACACCCUCCACCUGAUUAUGGAGUGAAGUAGACCAUCAACACAACACACAGCCUCUCUGAGUCAGGUCUGCUGCCACAUCAAUCACCUGGGCCGGAGCCAAACCAAAUAUGAGAAAACAGAAUACCAUCAAAUUAGGGUUUGUUUUUGAACUUGCUAUAAGCACAUUUCUCUGGUUCUGCAGACGGCGCUGAGUGCCAGGAUCCGGUGGGGUGUGUUGGGUUACAUGCAUGCCUUUGGAGGCGGCCGCCCCCCAUAAUCUGCUUAAUGCCUCCGGCUUCCUGGGAUGUUAUUAAUUAAUAAGACUUACAAUCAGAGCUGAUUUCUGCAGAUGGCUGGCACGCUUGUGCCACUCCGCAUCAGUUCCUCCAGCAUUGCUUUUUAAUGCUUUUCAGUGAUGUCACCACCUCAUGAUUUCACACAGUUGUUACUUUCACUCACUUCAGUCAUUAGUUCGGAGUGGUUUCAAGUAACUCAGGCUCUGACUGGGACACAGGAGAGUUUCAAUGAGGAAGAAGAAGAAAUGAUCUGCUCCUGCCAAACCAGCUUUUGUGCCACAGUGGCAGAACAUUUGUAUAUAUCAGUCAUUGAGAAACUAAAUUUAGUACAAACAGAAUAAUUGUGGUGCUAUGUUUGUAUUUAAUCAAGAAUGAAUGAAUCAAAAAUAUCUUUUUUUUAAGAAUAGAUGUGUUAUGAUAAGAAAAAGGGGAUUUGGUAUGACACAGAAUUCACAUUGUGUCAGUCUAAGGUGGAGUGCAGUCGGCUGAGUGAUUUAAGUGCCAUCGCCCCACAGGUCUGGCUUUCCCAAGUAGGCUGCAGAAAAGCCACACUUCUUUGAUCGUCAUUAUGUUUCCUGGUUUGUACACUGUCCUAUCUGAUCUAGAAAAAGAUGGUCUUGUUGCCGAUGGUCUUCUUUUCUUUUGUACGUCAAAAAAGAUGUCGUGAAAUCGUUCAAUUCAAAAAAAUGUCAAAAAACUUCAAACAGGAGCUUUAAUCAAAAGGUGGGUAAUAAGGAGACAAAACGCUAAAGACAAAGUUUUUAAAUGCAAAACGUGUCGAAGUAAGUCUUGGAAUAAUUCAAAAAUACUGGAAUUCCCCUGUUAAAAAAGGUUUACAAUGAGUCACAUUUUUCCAAUCCAUGAUAUCAGAAAAAGUAUGUGACUGUGUUGUGCAAAUUUCAAAUGAACAGGACAAAAACUGUAAAUACCAAUUUGUCCACAAGGGGCGCCAAAAUCAACACAAACCUGAAGUUUCUUACUAGAGCUUUAAAACACAAAAUUCACAGGAAACAAACAUAUUUUUAUGAGAAAAAUGUUGUUAUUCAUUUUGAUGAAUUUAACCAUGGAGGUUUAAAGUCAUGACAUUAUGGUAUUGAUUUAAAAAUAUAUAUUACAAAUGCGAAUGAAGAUUAAAAAAAUAAUAAAAAGAUAUAGUCAUAAGUUUAUUAGAGUGGAAAUAUUAAAUUAACAGCACAAUACCGUUUUAAUUCAAAUGAAAUGACAAUAAAGCUGUGGCUAUAAGAGUAAAGCUGUAACAUGAAAAAUAAUAGCUUUCCUAUAAGUAGUAUUCAAAAUAAUGUCACUUAAUGAGAAAAAUUAUAACACUACAAGAAUAAAGUCAUAACUGGAUUGAAUAAAAACCAGAACUAUGUGAAUAAAAAUAAGUGCAGUAAUUGUUUCAUUAGAGGAAGAAAAAAAAGAAGUGCCACCACAAGCACUAUGUGAGUUUUUGAGACUUAAUGAAGAUUAUAAAGACAGUAUUUAAAGCAGCAUAACAUGAAAAGUUAAUUUAUGACAAAGAGAUUUGUUUUACAGCAAUCAAGUCAUAAUUUUCUGAAAAUACAGUUGUUAUAUCAUGAGUAAGUUGUUAUAAAUAAAGAAAAAAAAACACUCUAAUAUUGGGAUUUAUGAAAACUAAAAUUGCAUUUUGAAUACCAAAACUUUAACAAAAAGGUGGGGAUUAAAAGUCAAAAUGCUUAAAGUGAGGGAAGCCAUUUAAAAAAUCAUGCAAACAUAAGGCCCAGGUUUAAAAAAAACACUGAAAUGACCCUUUAAGAGAAAUGAAUCCCAGCUGUCACUCUCUGGAGGACAUGCUUAAAUGCCUCUGCUGAAGCGGGCUGAUAACACCAGCCCACACGUUUGAAAUGAUCGUGCAGGGUGAGGAGAGAAACAGUCUGUUAGUGCUGUGGGUGAGGCAGAACGAUCCCCCGCUGAGAUAAAGCAUGUCAUCUCACAUGUAGAGCGUCAAACUGCACGCCGUCUGUGUUCACGUGUGAUCCAUCAUCAACGGCAGCGCCAACAUCGACAGCUGCCAGAGAAAGUUCACUCUCAAUCAAUCCGCUCGAGUACUUUGUACAUUUCAGACGAGUAAAAAUAGACUGAGGCAAAGACGCUGAACAAAUCCAAGUCGUCACGUAACUCAUAUCAUUCAGACUUUUACAGUAAAGUGCUGUUAUACUUACUCUGAAUUCCUAUUAUAUCUUUGUAUAAGUGAUCAAAAUAUUAGACAUCUUGGUAGAAAGUUCCAGUGUUAGUACAAGAUUAGAGAAAUCUCACUUUUUAUAGAUUAUCUGCUAAUUAUCUGUGGCUUGGUCAGCAAUGUGCUUCUGUGAAAUUCAUGUUAAUUAGAAUGGCUGUAUCUCAGUUAAAAGCCAUUAAAGGAAAUACAUUAGUCUAACUAAAAUUGCACUUAAUCUAGUUUUUCAUUGCCUAAAACUAAGAUAAUGUGGUCAAGGAUCUAUUUUCUUGUCUGUGUAAAUGCCUCAAUCGGUCUCCAACUGGCCUUGGCAUCUUGUGCAUGUCUUAUAGUUCACAUGUCAGGCUUUGACCUGGAAGUUGAUCUGCAUGAAUAGGAAGCCAGGUAGUCAACAGAAUCUUAACAGAAGAAGAGGAAGAGACGUAAAAUAAGAAGAAGCUGUCUCACAGAGAGUAUAGAGCUGAAAAGUUGUUUUGUUUAAUAUUCACAAAUUUUGUUAGCUAACAUGUUUGUCAAUUGUUUUGGUAUGUGAAGGUCAUAAAAGGUCAACCAAAAGACAGGCCGGGACAACAAGCUGAAAGGAGGCGUGCAGCCAUCUACUUUGGAGGAGGCAUACAUACAUUUUUAUUUCUCCACUGGUGCUGUAGACUGGUAAAGGAGUGUCAUUAAUAAGUACUUGAUGGACUGUCUUCAUCUGACAUCAUAACAGGAUGGGAACUCAUAUAGCUUAGUUCAUAAACCGUAUAAACCUCAAUAUUCUUACCUGCUGUGGACAUUUCACAGCUUGCUAAUUAAUAAAACUUUGUUAGCCCUUGUUAAUAAAUUGUGAUUAAUCUUUAUUCAUUUCUCAGUGUUUUUUUUUUCUUUUUACUUUUUAAAUUAAAAUGACCAGGAAACUGAUCACUUCCAAACUGCCUUAUUGGCAAUGAUUCAAAUACAGAUCAACUCUGUUGCACCUGUACUAUAAACCAAACCCCAAAUUUUAUAUUUAAUAACUUUUAAACCUUUUUACGGAUAUUCACAAGCUGAGCUAAAAUCAGCUCUUUUCAUAUUUGGUUUCAUUUUUGAAGUUCUCACUGAAGCAGUGUCUCUUCUCUGAUGUUUUAUCAGCUGAGAGUAGUUCCUCCAGCUCUUCUAGUUCCAUUAUGUGAUUAAGUGGGUUUUAGUGUGCAUGUACUCUAUUUUUUUUACAACAGUGUCCACAUUUCAUCCUCUAUAUCUGUCAGAACUGGUCUGUGUUACUGGUUUAGUCGAGCAGUAGCAGGACAGAUAUGUUUGAAAUUUUGGUCUUUAUCUCUGUUUAUUUCUCAGAGAAACAUCAGAGGUUUUAAAAAUCUGCAGGUAUCAGCUUCCAUAGGGGGGCUGUUUCAGUAUCAGGUGUGAUAUCCAGUCUACAGCGUUUCCACUCGAGUGGAAUAUUUAAUGAGUUUGAUGUAUGGUGGGCACCCAUGCCUGUGCCUGUUUCCCCCCUGCAGAAAUGAACCCUGGGAUAGGUGUCACAUGUAGGGGGAAAAGGGUAGAUCUGCUCCUGAGAUCAUCAGAUGAGGGUCUCCAGGGUGCAGCAACCUGCAGGAAGGAGGCCGUAAUGACCAAACACGCUGCUGAUUGGACAUCUUGCAUGCAUUAAGGCGGGUUAGAUGAUGCACUGUGUCCUUCAGCCCCGGAGAUCCGAUAACAAAGCCGAGCUGUGCGGGGUAAGGUGAUCCCGGCGCGGGGCCUCGGCUGCAGGCCGCUGCCUCGCUCCCAAUGAAACACCUCUCUGUUCCAGUGCCGUGAAAGUGGAGACCUCGGGAUGCAACAAUACAGAGUAACAUGUGGAGAGCAGAGGAGGGGACGGAAGGGAGCUACUGCAGAAAAAAAAGGAAUCAAAAAUACCACAUUUAGAAUUUUAUUUAAAAAAUCCCCUUUAAGCACUCAAACGUCUCAUUACAGCAAAACCCAAAACUACAGUAGUACCUAAUAUAGGAAUUGUUGGUUUGUAAAAAUGCUCUUCCAUGCAUCUUUCUGAUUUGCGGUGCAUUCAGCAGUUUGCAAAGCGCCGACUCUGAGCAUGUGUAUCUCUUUUUAACGCCAUUUGUUUUCACCAUAUGGAAUCCCACCAGCUGCAUCCCUGCGAGCCAUGACUGCAGUAGUUAGUAAAGCUCAGUAUCUUUGAUGUUCCUGAGGCACUGCAAGUGAUCAAUUCACCUGGAGGCAUGCCACCUGUUUCUGCUGGUCAUGAAUAGGUUUAAAUUGGGGAAUUCAUUUAAACCAGCAUCUCAUAAAAAGUUGAUUUACUAUACAGUAUUUUUAUUUUUUUGUGCAUGGUUAUGACCCAAUGAGAACAGACGACUUAUGCUGGCAGUGCUAUAAUGAUAAACUCUAUAACAAAAUUUAUAGUUAACUUAAAAUUUAUUGUUAGAUAAAUUCAUUGGCUGAUAUUUUGCACCAUACUUCUUUCCUGGAAGUGGAUCACACUCCCUGAUUUCUACAUCACUAAGUUGCUGCUGUGCCGCCCUGCUAUGUUCACCUAAACCUCUCCCAAGAUCAGCAUCAGGAAUCAGAGCAUAUUAGUCAAUAAAACUUGUUUAUUCCAGAGAAAUGUCUUUUGUUUAUGUAUUUUUUAAUUUAAUUUUAAUUUAGUUUCACUGAGAGGAAAAAGACUUUCAAAAUAAGGUUGAAUGUUUCUGCUGUGUGGCGACAGAUGGCAUGUUUUUCAGUCUGACCUGAUGGAUACUGUUCAGUUCACAUAAGUCAUACAUCUUCAUUUGUUCACUUUGAGUUCUCGGUGAUAAAUGUGAUUACACUUUAAUAGUAUUACUUCACAUGCUCAUUUUCUACAAACUUACAGGGACAUUAUUUAGGAAUUAAGAAGGGUUACCUCAUGUUUUUGGUAAAUGACUUAAAAAUAAACGUCCUAUUUUAGUCCAGCUGUGCUUAGACUGAGUAUGACUCUUUGUUUCUUGUCUAACUCUGUUAUUUGGUUUUACACAGGAAAAGAGAAGAACUGAGUCUGGAUAUAAAGUUUAUUAGGAAUGAUGUGGAUUGGAUUCCUCUUUUGCAGCAUUAAAAAGUUUAUUCUAUUAAAGUUAAUGAUUUUGUACAUUUGUUGCCUCUAAACCAUGAGUUGCAGCGCAGACGGUAACAUUUCAGUAAGCAAAGAAAAAAUUCUGAAUCUUGUAAACCUUUUUCACAUUUGAACUCCUGUAAAUGUGUGGACUGCUUAUCCUCACAUUUCUGCAUCUUAUAGAAGCAUGACAUUUUCCCCAUUAGACAGAAGGGCAGAAAUGAUGUGAAAGACAUCAUCAAUGUCACUGUGUAAUGAUUUCAAGGAUGGUGGACAAGACAGAGGACAACACUAUAAUAAAGGUCUUUUUUUUCCUCUUUUUUUUCACUUUCUCGUGAAUCUUGUGAAUUACGUUAAAUGGAACUGGAAGUAUUCACUGGAUCAACAAAUAUAUUUUUGAGUUUUCUGACAAAAAAGCUCAUCCUGAAGACUUUUGAAUGUAACCCUGACCCUAACAUUAACCCUAAACCCUAACCCUUAUUCUGACCCUAACACUAACGCUAACCCUAACACUAACCCUAAACUCUUAUUCUGACCCUAAACCCUAACCCUAAACCCUAACCCUUAACCCUAAACCCUGACACUAACCCUAAACCCUAACCCUUAUUCUGACCCUAAAUCCUAACACUAAUGCUAACCCUAAACCGUAACCCUUAACCUAAGCCCCAACCCUAAACUCUAAACCCUUAUUCUGACCCUAAACCCUAACCCUUAACCCUAACACUAACCCUAACCCUGAACCCUAAGCCUAACCCUAACUCUAUGUGGUAAAAUAAAUACAGGACAUUUUCUUCAUUUCCCUCAUUUUCGAAAGGCGUCAGUAUGAAUUUCAGUGUACAUCAUAAAUGUCUAAAAUCUCCCCACAUGAGCUUAAAUACUGUUUUUUUUCCCUCAGAAUGACACUGUUUGAUAAAAUUAUAUUUAAAACUUUGAGUCAAAAGAUUGCAUAUGCAUCAACCAUGUGCCAAAUUCUGCAUAAAUGACUACCACGGAGAACCCUCUUACCCCUUAAAUCCUACAGAGUGCAUGUGAGCCAUGGCCCAUGUGUAGACUCCUGCCCGUGUAGCUUUAUGGACGACAAAUACUCAUUGAUGAUUUAUUGUUAACACAAACAACCUCAUGUCCUUUCCCUGACCAUUUUGACCAAAACAAGACUUCCAGCUGCUGACUUUGACUGCAGGAAACAUUUUUUUCUUUCUUUUUUUGUAAUGGAGAAAACUCAGAGCUGUUUGAGGGAUUGUGUUCCCCUAAGGCUCUGAUAUAAACUUCCAAAUUCAGAGCAAAAGUCAAUAUUCAGAAAUUAGGUUUUUAAACUCCUAAUCUUGGUGUAAUUUUUCUUCACACGGACUUAAUCCUCCUAAAAGUAAUGCAAAACUAAGCACACGCUGCGGGUUAUGCAUUGUACUUGUUCUCUCUUCACUCUUACCGAGGCCCUGAAAGCAGUCACAGCAGACAAAACCUGCACCGCCACCAGCCAACAACACUCACAUCUCUGUUUUUGUCUCAGACCCGGUGUCCCUGCAGCCUGCACAGAUGGAUGACGGUAUUAUUUCUGAUAGAGAAAACAAAAGCUCCAUCUUUUUAAAGCCGUACAGCGAGCUGGCAGCACUUUCCACCCAGCAGCACUUUGGUUUAUAUAUAUAUAUCGACAUUUUUAUACCCAACAAGAUCAUAUCUACCGCUUACAACAACAGUGUGAAUUACGAGGCUCUACUUUAUAUGGAGGCUGUCGUGUGAUGACAUGCGUGGGAAAGACAAAUGGCGGCGUACAGUUCUCAUUCAGCCACAAGGAGAAAAAGGAACGUGCGUCUGGCCAUUAAUUACGUGGCGAGGAGCAGCAGAUUCGGUUUUCGGGGGAACAAAAGGUGUCUUUUGGGGAGAUUUGUCUCUUGGCUCUGAGCUGACUUCUUUGCAAAGAUCUAUUGUUCUGCUACAGAGACACAAGAGGCUCACUGAGACCAACAGACCCCCCUCCCCUCGCCUCAAAGAGCUGAAUGAUAAGUAAGUGGUCUGCUGCAACGCCACCAGUUGAUCCGAUACAAAGCACGGUCUGUGUGAUGGUGUUUCUUUGUUUUAUAUUAAAGAGGAGUUAAAGACGGCGCUAAUGCUGCCGAGUUAAAAAGUACAGAGGAAAGUCAGAGAAACUCCACUUCUUAAAUCUUUACAUGCCCCUCCAUGUUUAGUACAUCAGUUCUUUGAGCUUUGUUCACAUAUCCCAUCACAAAACUCCUGAAAAUGGUCCAAAAUUUACGGAUCCAUCUGCAUGUGUGAAUGCAAACAGCUAAUCAUGCUCCAGAGUGCAUGCAGGACUUUAUCCCAAAAGUUGAAUAGCAUAAAAGCUCUGUUUUAGCAGGUGAACAUAAAAAAGAGAAGAAGAAAGCAUGUUAGAAAGUUGGGGAAUUUUCUUAAGUCUGACUACAGUAGUAAAUAUUUUAAUAAGGCAGAAACUGCAACCUGGUCCUCCUCAUGGUCAAGCGCCACCAGACAUGACCUAUGUUUGAGAUCUCCAUUCCUGACCUUACUCUUUACCUUGAACUCUGUGCAUAUUUAGGGGUGAAUUUGUGUCGACGUGAUGAGUCUAUGACCCCUGCCAACAUGAGAAUGAUGUUCUUUGUAUCAUCAGAUCAUCCUAUUAAGACUUGACAAUUAACAAACAUUUGAUAAAAACUUGUCACCGUUGGUUCUGUAACGUAAAGGUUCGAUGUAAGGUGGUUGGAUAAUUCUAAUGAUGAGAAACAGCAGGAUGGAGAAGGAUAACUUUCUUAGCAGCAUUUUCACUCUUCAGCCAUCUUGUCAUGAACCACAACAUAUAACCCCCAAAAACUUAACAUCCUGGACAACCCUGAUCACAUGACACAGCACUUACAAUCAGAGGCUCGGACCUCAAAAUGAAUGUAAAUGAACCUCAGAGACACAUUCUGCAUAAUCUGCUAAACCUAACAAACAGCUGCAGAGAAAAACAUUUAAACAUGUAAAUAUGAACCUGUCGACACUUUGAGAAUAGUUCUCUGUAUGAAUUCUAUAAACACAAUUUUUUUUUUAGCUUAACUUAGAGACAGUUAACUGUAAUAGUUAACAGAAAUAUAUGAAUUGACUUCACUGUUAAGGAUUACAGUUACACAACUUUAGAAAGGUACCAAAUGAAUAAGGCUGUGUUCACACUGCAGGUCAAUUCUGAUUUUUUUAUAUGUGUCACAUAUCUGAUUUUUUCAUGUAAGUGUGAACAGUGCAAUUCUGAUUUUUUUUUUUUCAAAUCCGACCCAGGCCUCUUUCUUAUGUGAAUAUGAAUUGGAUAUGUAUCCGAUGAGACUGCAGUGUGGAUGCUCAGGUCGUAUUAAUCCGACCUAUGCAUCAUCAAUAUGUGACAAACGUCACGAUUGUUCAACAACACAAACAGGCGCAGAAAGUAAUGGUGGACGAGUAAACAGAGAACAGCCAGUGGCAAAAAGAAGAAACAUUAGACUUGAUAAAAAAUAUGGGGAGACCGGUCAGUUCAAGCCAAAAUAGAGGGCUCAUACCGUAACCGGGCGGUGUUCAAGGAAUUGGCCGAGCGAGGCAUCAAGUGUUCCUGACUGCAGUGCCAUCUGAAAAUGAAAAGCCUUUGCUCUUAAUAUAAAGAGACAAAGGACAUGAACCAAAGAAGCGGACAUGGUCGUGUAACCUGUCCAUUUUAUGAAGAGCUGGAUAAAAUUCUGGGUGACAAACCCAGCUGUCUGCCUUUAGAGCUGCUUUGUGCGCAUGCGGGUCACUCCACGGACGAAUUCCAUUUACAUUAGAUGCCGCAUUCAUUGUUGUAAUGUGAACAACUGCACAAAAAGACUUAACAAAAAAUCCGAAUUGUGCAUCAUAACCUGCAGUGUGAACGUAGCCUAAGUGUGCCCUAACCCUAACCUAUAAAAAAAGCACUACAACCCUUAAGCCAAAAUAGAUGCAUUUUCAAAAAUGUGCAUUUAUGUCAUUAGAUUAGAUUAGAUUAGAUUAGAUUAGUUAUUCCUUUACUCAUCCCUCAGUGGGGAAAUUACAAUUGUUGACAGCAGCAGUACACACAACAUACACAUUCACACCGGGUACAAAAACAAAUAACUGAAGAUAGAGGAACUGGUGUAAAACAGAAAGAGACAUAUUAACGUCAUUCAUACAACAACAUACACACAGACAUCUCACUGUACAUGUCUUAAAAAUGACUCUCACUCAGCCUCUGAUGUUUUGAUUCAUCCUAGUUAGGCGUUGCUUUUUGGGUUCACACUCGUCACACAGUAUAAACUUCAUCACCUCCUCCACAUGCUCGAGGUGUAUUCUUGCAGAAAUUUUAACAGGAUCCUGGCAGGAAAAAGUCUUAUUUGCACUUUAACGCUUCAAUAUUUUCAACAGUUUUGUACAUGAAUGAAAACAACACCUGUAAAAACAUUUUAUACGUGUUGUCUCGUGUAAAGUCUGUAUGCAGUUAGCAAAGACAUUCACGAUGAAGUGUGUGCACUCUUGGCAUUGUGCUGCAGCUUUCUGCAACCCACCCCUUCAAUCCCACAGACUCCUCAUCCAGGAACCCCCCACCCCUCUAACCUCCCUCCCUGCCUCCUCCUCAUCCUUCCCAGCCAGCUCCUGGCUGAAUGAAAGAGAAAAUAAAGAGAUCUAAAUGUCAGCGGGGAGCUGAGUGCAUUCCUCUCGCCGUGUCCCGAGACCGGUCACCCAGAACAACUUGUGAUCCUGGGACAAAGCUGACGACAGCAGGUGGCCAUAUAAAGAAAUUUUGCUCCCAGAAUUAGAUCUUAUCCCAGGGAAGUGCCAUUGAGUCAUAGAUAAUACCCCCACACCCCCCAUCCUGCUGGGUCCACAAGGAUUUUCAUUUCAAUUUCUUUACACAACGAUGCUUUUCAUCUUGACCAGGGUGAGAUGACAGUGCUGCAGCUAUGAAAUAAAUGGGAAGCAGUUGAAAGGCAGAAUUAUCCCCCAGACCUGCAACAUUGCCUGGAAUGCCCCACUGUUUCCAUUCAUGUUCAUUUGUGACAUUCUCAGAGGCUGCACACACACUGUAACACACACUAACUCUCUCUCUCACACACACACACUCACCGAGAAAGUCACGCAAAGCAAGAGGCAGAUAAAAUCAGACAGGAGUGGUACCUAUCUGCACACGCGCACACACAGACACACUUACACACUUUAAUCCAAACAGGGCUGGUAUUUUAUAAUUUCAUCUCCUCCGUCUCUUUGCCUUUUUCCCAUCGCCUGUUUUCUAGGGGGCAUAUAAAUGAUGCAUGAGGACGAAAAUGUCACCUCCAAAAUAAAGAGAAAGCAAUUUUGUCACACAGAAAAUGGUUAUUUCCACCUUUUUCUUCCAUGUUUGCAGCUUUGUGGCGGUAAAAUGCCAGCUGUUACGCUGAGCUGUGAGGCUCAAAGUGUUAGGCGAAGGAAACACAUAAUCAAAAGAGGUACGACAUGAUGAUCACAGGCCAGGCGAUGGUUUCCAAAGGACCAAAGUCCGGAUAUCAACAGAUUUAAUCAAGGUGUUACAAGUGUUGGUGUCAGUCUUUAAAGGGAUAUUUCAGUAUUUUUAAUAUCAUUAAUGUUAGUCAACUCAUUGCCUUUAAUUUGAAGCUGCUGGGGUAACUGGCACGCAAGCUAGGCUACAGUUUUCUGCAGAUAGAGCAGACUCAGUUUUGAGAGACUCUGACUCAGAUACUCAUUUUGAUUGAAGUGUGCAUUCUACCCAGAAAUUUUCCAGCACUUAACUUCGCCAUCAGAAAGCCCAUUUGUUCUUGCACUAUCUAUAACCCAGCAUAUCUAGCGUCCUCUUUCUGCCGGCAUCCAUUUUGGCAGGUGCAUUUCUUCUUGUGACCCCUCAUUCUGCUGCUGAAAAAAUAUACAUCUGAUCCCACUAGCUGUGCACAGACAAGCAGACAUAAAACUGUGUAUAAAUGAGAGGGAAGAAAAGGUCCCAUGUCACAACUUUCAGGGUUUUUAGGAUUUGCUGCAAACAUCUUGGUGUCAUGACCCACAAUGUACUGUCACGAUUUUAAGGUAAACAAAAAAGAAAAGGACCCAAAAUCCAGAACACAAAAAAUGAUUUCAUGAAAAAAAAACUAAAACAACAAAAACUUUCUCAAAAACAAAAUAUCCCAAAUUCAACAAAGGCACUGGGGGAAAAACCACAUGUAGACACUAGAGACACUGGCGCGCACACACACACACACACACACACACACACACACACACACAGUGGGGGCAAUAUUGGUCUUUUCAGCUGUGCUAUUUCUGACCCCAUACAACCGUCAACAACAACAGUAGGUCCGUGUCAGACGUCAGAAGUGGCUACAAUUGCUGCUAGGCAUUUUCGAGCAAGAAGAUGGAGCAUCGUACAGUGUUGACUUUGAUGUACAUGAUGUGUGCACUACGUUUUCUGCAGAUGAGAUGCACGCUACUCCUAUUAUGGGGGCAUGGCGCAUGCGCACAAGCAUUGUCCAAUCAUACUCCAACUAAGUUACAUGGUAGAGAAAAUCGAAUUUCAAUUGCAUUAUCUGGGUGUCUUAAUUAGAGUUCUCAAACUCUGACUAUAGUCGGGCUAAGGUGUUUACAUGCACUUUAGUUGUCCGGUCUUAAUCUGAGUAAGACAAAAAUUUGGUUUGCUCAAGUGUCACGUAAACAUACUGACAGACAUUCAGAACCAACAAAGAAACAGGGGAAGACAAGGACUAUAUAUACACAGGGAAACGAGCAACGAGAGGCAGGUGAGAUGCUAAGAUGCAGACAAUCACAAAAGAAGGAAAACUGAGGAAGUAAAACAAGACAAGAAACACAGGUAAUAAGCUACUACAAAAUAAAACAGGAAACACUGAAAACUGAUAAUAGAGAAUAAAACACUGAGAACAUGAGGGAACCGUGGUCAGACACAAAGUGAAAACUCACAAGACAAGACCACAGAAGAACAGGAACAAUAGGAAACUGAAUCACCAGGGAAAAUACGAAGAAAAUAUACUCACAAUCACAAGACCAGGGAAAAACUAAAUCAAACAGAACGUAUCAUGACACAUACUUUUGGAGGUCUUAAGGAAUCCACGUCUAAGUCAGAGUCACCCCAACCUGAUUAAUACUUUGGCACCAACAAUGGAAUCCAGUGCAUGUCAGUAGGAUUGUGGAUUUGGGUCUUAAUAAAACGGAUUUACCUAUAGAAUAUAGCUGUGUGUAUUCAAAUUAUCAUCCCAAAGUUAAAGAUAGUUUGUUUGACUCAUAGAACACGCUCCGGGAGUUGCACUUCACCUAUAAGGUUUCUCAUGUAGAUUCCGAUCCAUGUUGAAAACUGAAAACACACUGUGGAGAAAAAGAUCAAUCAGGACUCCCUCACAGGCUCAUCAGUGUAAUUUUUCAUGGUAGGCAGCACACGGGGCCUCUCCGCUUUCUCCUUUCUGUUUUGACGUUCCUUGAUUCCUCCAAGUAGCCGUUUCUAUUUUUUGAUCCGCGCCCAUUUUCCACCAUGACUCCCCAAUUUACACAACAGGCAGACAACUUGUGACUUCACCCAGCAAGACCAAAGUGAAUAUUUGAAAAGCUCAAAGUUCGGUUUCAUUUUUCUGAUGGAUGGCUUCACUGGGAACUGUAAACUGUGGUUUUGAAUCCCUUUAUGCGCUGAAAGUGCAGUUUGAACUCUAAACUGCGGAUGACUCAUAACCUAAAAGGCAUGUUGGGGAGAGUGUUAAAGCUCGCUGCGAGUUUCUUCUAGGGGCGCUUUAACAAAUAGGACUGUGCAUUUCAGUUUUUCACUCAGACUUCACGUCAUCAUGUUCAUCCAGGUCCAAGAAAACGCUUUAGACCUCAGCUCCAGCUCCAGUCUCAUGGAAAAAAUUAUCAUGUUUCACUCAAAGUAAGGUUUACCUCAAACGCAACGCCAGCCAGCCAACUUUAGAUACGCACGCAUGUGUAUGAUAUUAUGUGGCUUUGACAUGGCUUUGACUUAAAAUACAUCCAACCGCAAUAUGAAAAAAUGUGCAUUGCUACUGUAUGGGUUCAGAUUUAUUCUACAGUGAUGGGAUCAUCAGUUUUCUCCAGCAGGAUAGAUAAAAAUUAGCAUAAAUAACAUUACUGACAGUGGUACUUACAGUAUAUGAGCCCAAACCAUAGCGUUUUUUUCCACAGUAUCUCUAAUUACAAAGCUAAGCAUUGAAAUGCUUCUUUUCAUGCCACUUCUUCAUGUAGAUCCUGGAAGUUCAGGGUUUUUGCACUGAUGGACUCGACAAGUCUUCAAUUUAAAGAGAGGAAAUGAAGCGAUGAGUCACCACUAUGAAAUCUUUUGUUUACUGUGAACUUUUUCAGCCAUGCAUUAUCUCCUUUUACCCGACUCGCUUAUUACCUCUGUCUCCCGUCAGUCCAGUCUUCCAGUUCCUCCAUGUACCUCUGCAUGUCCCAUUAUAUGAAGAUACAGGGAGGGAUUUGACUGCCACAUCAGCGUCAUGUGUAACAAUUUAUAACUUCAUACAAUGUUUGUGUAGAAACCAUAGCAUCUGAAUUGGAGUGUAAUAUAUCAGCAUUAAAGCGGAUAUAAUGUUGUGCAGCAUUUGAAUAGAAGUCUGUAAAAGUGAGGAAACGUUAGAGAAGACAUACGACUACCGAGGAAGAGGAUGAGAGACAGUGGUGACACCAGAAAUGUCCACCACCAAACAAGCAGACCAGUCACUGAGUUUGCAAUCUGCACUGUUUCAACAUGUAGGUACCAUAGACCGUAUAUAGAAUGGACGCCGUCUGCCUCCUCGCUGUGUGAAGCCACUCUGAGAACAGCACCCUCUGGUGACAGGCUGCAGUAUAGGUCAUAAAUCCCGCCUCUGCUAGCAAAGCUUAUGGAGCUGUGGACAAACUUUUGAAAUUUAUCAAACAGAAUAUAAAUUUUUCUCCCCCCUGCUUGCGAUGUUGACAUGUAGUUACUGUCAGAUUAGUUUGUGCUCAAGUCCUCUUUUUUCUGUACAGCUCCAUUUCUAAAAGUUAUUAGGGGGUUCAUGUUUUCUAUGAUUGACACCUGAUGCAGCCUAUGGGCAUAUGAAGAUUGUGUAGCUCACCUGGGAGAGACGCUGUUUGAGCCAAGCAUCAUCACAGCGACUCUCUGCGACUCUCCUGCCGAAUGUGUACAAUGCUACUGCGCAAGGGGGGAAGUGCAUGCAACACGACUGCGCAAUGUUGGUUUUUGGAAAUGGAGAAAAAUUGCCGAAAUACCAAGAGCUUUUCGGCUUCAAAUCCCUAUACUGGCUGAAGGCAUAACCAAGUUGUCCACAGUAUAUACAGUCUAUUGUAGUUACAUUUUGAGUCAUUAUGUUGGAGUUGUCCAUCUGUGAAAACGGCUGGUCUCACAAAGGGAGUGGAUUUUACAACAAGUUACUGGAGCUGAAACUUUUCAAGUUUAAUUGCUAAAGCCCUGGUGGUAAGAUAGUCCCACUUUUUUCAGGAAAAAGUCCUAUAUUUAGGUCAAAAUGGAAAUUCAAUUAACCAAGAUGCAUGUCAAAUGCUGUAAGUAUCACAUAAGGAAUACAAGUCUUUUAUGAGUGUAAACCAGUGGCGUGUGGAUGCAGUGGGUGUCCAAAGAGCAGUGUGUCAUGCAUGGUUUCCCUCCUCUCCCUCUCCUCCCGGUCACGCGGGGCCUGAGCCAGCCAAUCUGCUAUCACAGCCUCACCUUCCCUGGAUCAUUUGCUGGCUAACACCUGAUACUUUCAUGUAGCUAACUCACUGGCUGCCCACAAUUGCCUUGCCAAAUGGCCUGAGACCACCUAUUCUGCCGGUCCCCAUUGUGGAUCAGUUGAACCCCGUCCAGGAGCAAACUCUGCCUAAUUGACCCCAUAUGUUCCCUCAGAGUUCAGAUCCACCCGCUGGCCAUAUCUAUGCUUCAGCACCAAGAGCUCCUAAACGCAGACUGCUCAGGUGUACAGGCUCGGCCAUCAAAGACAAAGAUGGUGCCGAUCAGAAGAAACCGGACCAGAUGAAAGCCGUCAUGUUUUUGUGGCCCAAAGAGAAAAUCACAGUUGAAGUUGAAAUCCUGCAGCUCAUUAUUGUGCCUAAAUACCGUUUCACGCCUGAAAUCAGCAGAGUCAUUUCAAACGAUGAAAAGGCAUGAAAUAUUUAGUGACUUUUGAAUGUGUGGAGGGUUUCCUUGUCGGUACAGCAUGUUCUGCAGCCGGUGCUGUGUUCAAAGGCCUGAGUGGCGAGGGGCCUUAUAAAGACGAGUCUGGCAGGGAGCAGGGACAAGCAGCAGUUGGCAGGACUGCUGGGAGUCAGCGACUAUUGGCAGAUGCACAGUGUGGAGGAGCUGCUGCUCUGUGUAGCCUUCACUUCCAAUUGUUAUUUAUUUGCAGGUUGUUAAGGGGAAUUUGUAACAGCAAUCUGGGACACCUGCUAAUAAACACAUUUCUAUUUUGUCGCUCUGUACAGAACAAAAACAGCUUCAACCAACAUGAGAAAGCUUUACAUUUGCACUCGGAGAGGGAGGUCUUUCCUUAGGAUAAAAAAACAACAUCCUGCACACAGGGCAUCAUGUGUUUUAUAUUGCUGGCAGCAGAAAAAGCCAUGUCUUUGGCAGGCACUAUCAAAAAUCUACAAGGCUUACAUUUUGUUGGUUGAACCAUGAAAAUCUUAUUUUCUGAAAAUAACAAAGAAAAAACAAAUCUGCCCAUGAGGUUAAAUCCUUCCACCUGUUUCCAAUACUUCCAUUUCCCUGAAUCGUAGCACUAUGAUCCAGUUUCUACUGUUUCAUUUCGACACAUUUAGAAAACUAAGAGCCUGGGUUGGAUAAAACAGCAUUCAGAGCGAUGCAAAUGCACCAGGCUUUUAACUAGAAAAGACAUUUGCUUAAUUUUGUUCAACUUUUGAGAAGAAAUUCCAGCUUAAUUCAAAAUCAGCAAUCCAUUAGUUUGCUUUAACAGCUUUCUGAUGUUCUUAAAAGGGAUGAGGAUGGAAAUCCGGCAUUUUCUAAAACCCGCAAAUCAGUGUUCGGGGCUUAUUGAUUCUGGUGCAGUCUUAUGUGGGUCCCGCGGUUCAAGGUUAUACAUCUUGAGUCGAGUAAUGUCAUUUAAAUCUGAUUACUGGUGGACAAACAUACAACCACAAUUCCCCAAAAGUUGGGACCUUUCUUAAAAUAGCUGCGUAAAAAAAUCAACAUUGUGCACAAAAGGAUUGAAGCACAAGAAUCAACAUCAGUAGUGCAUUUGCUAAUCUGCUUCAAAAUAAUGUCAUACAGUCAACACAUGUAACGACAAAAUAUUAAUUAAUUAAUUUGUCACCUUUUUAAUUAUAUCAGCAGAAAUUUACACAUAUACUAUAAUAUUUAUAAACACAGUUGGUCACUGCAUCAGCAAAUGUAAAAAGGAAACCAUAUAUGUGCAUGAUCUAGAAAUGCAGACAACUUCUCAGGGCCUGAGCCUUUUAGGGUACCACUCUUUAAUCUAUAUAAAGUUGAUCCAGAAAUGCAUAGAUCUGUUUGGGUGGAAUUAAAGUCAAGUAGAAAACUGUCCUGUGGUCAAAAAAAUUAAAAAUUGUAAAUUUUUUUAUGAAAUUAUGAAUGCCACAACCACCACUCUAAACUCUGCAUAGACCAGAUCCAAAAACACAUGAAUGGAACUGAAAUUGGAAAACUGUGGAGCUGAAAUUGGUUUCCAAUUUCAGCUCCGAUCACUGAAAUUGAUCACAAGCGUUCAUAACUUCAGCACAGAUUGAUCCGUGCUGGAAAGGAAGUUGGGCAAGGACUCUAAGUAAAACAUCCGGCUUCUUUUCAAAAUAAAACACUCUGUGUGUCAGGUGGAUCGUAUUACAUACCAUGCAAAUGGGAUGAACAAGUGAAAGGUUUAUAGACAGCAAUUCAUCCUGACGACACCAUGGAUAAGGAGAUGCUGAUUCUAGAAGUCUAGAAGUAGAUUUCCUCCUCUGGUAGGACACAAUCUACUGCUUAUAUGGUUAGCCUAUGUGGCUAAAGACAACUUGUUGUUGCACAGUGUGUUCGACCCCAACUUAAUUUUACGCCGGAAUAUCCCUUUAACAUCAGUUUUGAGACUCAACUCUGAAUGAGAAAUAAAGUUCAUGGACUGAUUUAUGUCAUGUUAGAUCUUGGUGUAUCUUAAGGCCCUGAAAUCCAAGUUAAUGACUUCCUGUUAUGGAUUUUAUUUACACCAAGUCAACCAGAAUAACAUAAACAAUAUCCACUCAGCCAGAUUGUGGUUGCCUCCUGCAGCACACAUGAUGUCACUGUGUUUCAUGACCAGAUUGUUCCUCAUGUAUGUCCAGCUGUAGGCUACAGAAAAACACUGCAGUUACUUACCAAACUUGGUCGAGUACAGGAUGAAAGGCCGCCACUGACAGAGAACAUAACUCAUAAAAACACCCGAGUAUACAGAACACCCGUCAUCAGGUUGGUUCUUUAUUUAUGUUAAAGCGACCAUAAGGGGUAUGCCAUGUGUGUGGGAGCAAGAGACACAACUUCAAAAUGACCCACCAGUGCACACAAACAGCUUGGCCUCUGUGGCAAACCUCCCAGAGUGCCGGAGGAGAAAACCAAGUUUGCAAAAUAGCCGCCCGUCCAACAAACUGCGGCACAGACAAUCUGGAACAAAUUGUGAUCUAACUGUGGCUGGAAUCUGAAAGAGCUGCCUGUGAAAAUAUCUGCAGCUGAGGGGGGAUCUCCGCCGGCAUGAGUGUCUGAAUCUCUGAGUCAUAGUAUCACUUCGAACUGUAAAAAGAAGAAAAAGAAACCCUGAAGAGAAAGUUGUUUAAACAGGCUGUAUAGAUGCAGUAGAUUAAAACACAGCAGAAGGCCCACAACAUUUAUCACCCUUCAGAUUUAUUGUCUAACCUCAUUAUCAAUCCCUAUUAUCCAUCACUGAUAAUUGAAUCGAUGUAAAGUGAAAAUAGUGACCAUCUUUAGGGAAAUAAGCUCAUGUAGCAGAAACUCCAGAUACUGUUAUUUGACUGCCACAUGACAAUCAUGAGAAUGUGCUUCGUAGCCGUUUCCAUCAAGUGUAAUGUUGUUGUAGCGGCCCUGAGCAACAAAGCGUGCAGAGAUUUAAUUGCAUUACCACAUCCCACACAAGUAAUGGUCCAAAAUGACUCCCAAAUGAGUUGCAACAUGAGGCUCCACGAGAUUUGGAGUCUCGGAAAGGAGAUUAGAGGGAAGGUGUUAACCAACUGGUUUCUGGAGAAAUUACAGCUCACAGAAUGUGCCGGGGACUCGUAAAGAAUUCAGAGCUCUGUUUUCAACAUGAUUUAACCAGACAUUACACCAAACUGUGGGCUUUGAAGUGGUCGUAAUGAAAUCAAAUAAAGUGGCCAUAUUUGAGGUUUUUAGCCUUGCUUACAUGGAGCUGAAGUAUUGUGCCCCAUUUUAAUCUGUCCAGACUGUUCCCUUUUACUAUCCACACUCACAAUGCACUGUCAUUGGUGUUUCGCAUAUACUGGCAACGUCAAGAGAGUUGUGGGUUCCCCAAAGCGCCUCCGCUUUUUUGGAUUUGUAGAUAGUAUCAAAAUAAAGUAGCUUGUCACAUGGAUCUGUGACUCUUUGUUCUUCAACAUUGACCAUACAUUGAAUGGAUACUGCGCCUCCAUGCACCACGCAUGAAGAAUAGAGACGCCAAAACACCCCUCUGAUAGGUACUGACAUGUUAAUCCAAAUGAAAUCAUGUUAAAUCUAGCAUACCUUGUUCAGCCAGUGUUGCUAACUUCGCGGUACGGAAAGUCGCAAGUAGCUAUCCUAGAAGCCGCUACAUGAUAUCAUCGCCUCGUUCCCAUAACUUCCCAUUUGCGUGUAAUUGUGAUUUAUCAUGACACAUACAAUUUUACAUCUAAAUUUACAGGAUUUGACGGCGGUGGGUUUGCAAAUGCGUGAUUCCCUUACUGUUCUACUCUGGCAGCAGAGGGACUGCUGCGCUAGCGAGGUGGACCCUUCCCUCUGUGAGUAUUUGGAACAAAGGAGGGGUUUACGGCAGCACCUGCUGCUUGCUAAGGAGAGUAAGAUCGAUACAUGCUUUCAUGUUGGUGACUCCAAGCUCCAGAAAAAGUUGCAAGAUUUAUUGCUAGUUGCUUAUUUGAAAAAGUUGCUAACGAUACUGACAAAGUCGUUAAGUUGGCAACACUGCAUUCAGCUCGGGAUGGAUUUUCUUGUGUAUGUUUGCAACUCAUCCAACCCAAACUGUCCAAGGUGUUUGUCUCAGUGUAAACAUAUGAAAUCACACGCCAUCCAGACCAAAACCGUUUGCAAACCAUACAGUAAAUAUGUUCAUUUUUAACAUUUUAACAUGGGUUUAAAUGGGACUCACUUGGUUUUUGGAGUCAGCCCCAAGUGGACACUCGGGGAAACUGCACUUUUCUGGCACUUCUGUGGCAUUAUCUCGAAGUUGCACCUUGCUUCUAUUCGGGGACAGACGUAGGAGACAAAAUGGUGUUCAAUCCUGAUUCAUUUUAUAUCUCAAUGAUUUGAAUCAUCUCUGGUAAUCAACUUGUCUUCAACUGUCUUGCAAGGUACCAUUUCUGCUGAAUUUAAACCAUGAAUGGACUUCACUUCAGUUUUGUAGAUCAGAAGUGAAGCUGAUGAGGAUUGGUCAUGUGAUCUUCCUUGGUGACAGGUACAAAUUGAGGUAUGAAUAUUGGCUAUAAUGUACAAGUUACAAAUUCUCUUCAGGGUCAAAGAAGGCCCUAUAUACUGGAGGUGUUUUUGGGGCUGUUUUUGUUUUUUUCUUACGAUGGGAGUUUUUGGUUUAAGCACAUUUAAUAGCACUCAUUUCCAUUUAUCUCUGCUGAAUGGGGCUAGAGUAGGCAUUUUAGAGACAAAUAUUCUGUGCCUUGGCAAAUAGAGCAAGUGUGCACCAAAAGAUAUCAUUAUUUUGGGUAAUAAAGCCAGUAUUGCACAGAACUGCAUUUUCAGAACAUAAAUUCAAUCCAGUUUCUUCCAAAUAUCAUUUAUCUUCAUGCUUCUCUCUCUUUAUCUCUGUAAACCUGUGCUGCAGUGCCUUGCCGUCUGCAGUCUCUCAUGGCAGAAAAAGAGACUGAUGGAGGUCUCGUUCUCGUCGCAGGCCGCUGCUCUCACACAGGGAGCUGCUCCGUCCCUCUGACAGGCCGUGAUGAAGUGGCCUUCGGGACGGCUGACCACUGCUCGCGAUGGAUGGGACAGUGUGGUGUGUUUGGCUGAGGCACCUGCGCCUUGUCAGCCGUGUGUCAGUCCCCCGCUGAGGUGUUUCCUGGUCCCAUCGCCAUCACUCUUCUUCACAUUAUAAAGAUUUCUAAGGGGUUUUUUUUAGCACAAAUGAUCAGAUGAAAAUGUGAACUGCAAGUCUCUACAAUCACAUCACUCAUGUCAGGAAGUGCUUUGCCACAAUGAGGAUGAUCUACCUCCUCCAGAUAUCGGCCAUCUGGAUUGUCUCUGAGUUUUCUGUUGGAUUUUCAACAUGUUUUUUAUGUAGCUCUGGUUUGACAGACUAUGUAAAAAAUAUGAUUUUUUGUUACAGGUCAUCAGAUGGUUUAUCUACUUCAAACAGACCAACAGAUUAGAUCAUGUUUGUUUGCUGUAAUACCAAUAGGCUACUGGGUAAUCCUUAAUCUUCAGGACCUCAGGCAGCACUGCAUUAAAAACCAACAUGACUCUGGAUCUCUGGAUUGGUAGUCUCUGCACAGACUCAAAUCACCUCCAAAAACUAUUCUCGGCGAACAGUUUAUCACUGAAUUCACAAAUGCAGGUUAAAACUGUACAAUGCAGAUAGGAACCAUCCAUCCAUGAUUUGGAUAUGAUCUAGAAAUAGUGGCAGCUUUUCUGAGCCCAUUUAAGAUGGGCUGAGGGAAAGUGGAAAACUUGCCCAUUGUCUCAGACAUCAAAACUUGAUAUUUGUUUUGGAAACCAUGGAUGACAUUUCAACAUGUCACCCAGCCAGUGUUGCCAGAUGGGAAAUAAAGAAUUAUCCUACCAGGGACUCAAAAUUAUUAUAUUUUGGGGAAAAAUAUCAUACACCCUUCAUAAUCAAAAUAACAAUCUGACAGUUGCGUGAUAGUCACAUGUAAUCACUCUGUUUAGUGUCCUAUAGGCACUCACGAUUACACUAAUGCGUUCCCUUUAAACAAAUGACAGGUGGGAACUAAUCAACUUGUCCUCACACGAGUAUUCGGCUCCUGUUAAUCACCGUCCUCUUCAGUGGUGCUCGUUUUUCUCAACUUACUUCCCAACUGAGCAUGAUUGACAGCCAAUCAUGCUUGUUGUUUGGAGACAAACGUUUCUCAAACUACAACUGGAUGGGAACGUCACAUAGUAAAAGAUGCCUUCAGGGUUCGCAAAUAAAAAACUGAAAAAUCAAGUGUCUGGCAGACUGAGACAGUCCUAUCGCACCACACGUCCACGAAACUGUCAAAUUAUCAUACAUUUAGCCUUUUUUCUGGGUUAUUGAUGAAACAUCGUAUAGACUUAUACUUGUAAAAUUAUGUUGUUACAUUUCAGCAAGAUGAUGCCAAACCACAAACUACCUGUAUUACAACAGCGCAGCGCCGUAGUAGAAGAGUCCUGCUGCUAAACUGACCUUUACAUUUUUAAAAACAUGUUGCAGACACACUUUUUUGUUUUUUUUAAAGCAUAUUUAAGGAUCAUAAUUAUGUGUCUAUCUCAUUAUUUGUAACUUUGUGUUUGGUAUAAAGACAUUGUCAAACCUUACAAAUGUUUGUUGGCCCUCAAGCUUAACAAUACCCCACCCCACCCAAAAAAAAAAAAAAGAACAAACAGAGUAUGCCUCUUACAUGCUAAUAAUUCAACAUUCCCACUGGCUCAGAUUAAUUUUGACAACAGAACAAGUAAUCAGUGUUAAUCUACAUGUAGUGCUGUUGCCGCUGGGGUUUAAGAAAAGCUUGAAGACAAGCAACUGUCACCAUGUGGGCAAUUUCCAGAAACAUGCAGCUUUGUCGGAACAAAACUGCCAAUGGUUAUUCAUCUUAACAAGCUCUUAACUCACAGCAAAGCCACUGUAAUGCCUCCUCUCAUCCUCACAGGUCAUUAUUAUUUUAAUCAGUAUUGAAACAACCAAGUAAACAAACACUUCAUCCGUUUAGAUGGAAACAGUAGCAGCGGCGGCGCUGCUCAGAAUUCAGAUCUGUGAAAUGCUAAUCUCUUUUCAUGGUCCAGGCCUCCUUGCUUUUGUCCUCGGAGGGACUCCCACUGAGAUUCGUGACUUGAUUUGAAUACCAGGCACAGAGUUGGCACCUCACUGCAGAGGGAGCCCUCUGAAGAUGGAGCUGGAGCGCAGAGAUGGGGGAAGACCUUCAGUGUGUCACGGCAAGGUUUCUACUUUGAAACGCUGUCACUUCAAGGGGACUCUUUGCACAGGAGUGUCUUCAAAUGGUAAAUUCAGGUUACAUAUGAAGGGUUUAAUCUCAUAUAUGCCAUGAAAUGAGGCCAUAAUGCAACAGGGAGCAGAACUCUGUUUGUAUAAAGUUUCAAAACAAAAUGGUACACAUGUAAAUUUCCAAGAGGGCCAUUUAAGAUCUACUUUCAAACGUUCACUGAACCUAUUAAAGAGUGAUAAACACUGGAUUGGGAUUUUAAAAGUCAACAUCAGCCAAGCAGAGUCCCUCUUUCUGAAACUUCUUCUUGAACUCAAAACUCUUCAAAACUCAAACUUUGUCUUUGAGGUAUUUCAGAUAUUGAGAUUUUUUUUAUCAGGUAGCCUUAAGAAACCACAUAAAUGCCUUUUAUCAGUCAGUACAUUUACAUGUAUUUCAAAAAAGUUUAUUUAUUGUCUUAGUCUGACUAAAAUCACACUAAAUCGAACCUUUGCUACUUGAAUUAACAAACCUAGAUAAUGUGGUUGUGGAUAAUGUGCAAACAAUUUAACCUGAACCUAGUGUGCUGCAGCUUCUCUUUGCUUAACGGUGAAAUAAAGUCUGACGAUAUGUAUCUUUUUAAAAUUAUUUUCAACACUUCACCUGUCAAGAAAGAGGAAAAAUCUUUUUUAAAAAAAGAGGAAAUAAAAGUUGUUUUUGCAAAAAAAAGUGUUUUUUUUAACGCACAAUUAAAUUGGAAUAAAAACAUACUUUUUGUUCGUCUAUUUUUGCUUAUUGCUACAGAGAAAUCAAAAGCGGUGUAAAUCUCCAGCCUUAUAAUUUGAUGUGUUGUUGAGUGUUGCAGGAUAAAGUGAUCCCUCUGCAUGUGUCAGCAGCCUGUCUGCACUCUGAAGAGCUCGAGCUGUGAUGGAAAGCUUCUGUUGUCUGCCGCGUCUUUGUCGCCGUGUCAAAACGCCAGAGGGGGUCCUCCCCGUUUAUUCAUGUUUUACCUUAUCGAAACAGAGUUUACAGCACUGCUCCCCAAUCUAAAACAUAAUUGAUGUUUACCUCCUGUUUGACUGAAACUGACAGCCUGGAAUUUGUUCACCCUCUGCACAGUGACAAAGAUCAAAUCUGAAGCACUUCAACAUCUGGAGAUAAACUUUUAUAGUUUGUAAAAAUACAGAGGAAAGUCUCCUGCCUUUGGCAUAAAAUGGACAAGAGCGCUCUUAAAGAAGCUUUUCUGGUUUAUGUCUGUCCUUUUUUUCCCCUUUUUUUUAAAUCACUUACACUUAAAUCAAAUUCAUGGGCUUUUGCUUGGUGAUUUUGAGCAACCAUGGUUCGUUUUAAAAGACAAUGCUUUACUAAAUUUAACUUAUGAUGUUGUCAUGUGGAGACAGAUAUUGUUUGUGUCAAAUAUCUUCGAUUUAAGAUGGACCAGUUCUAGGCCUUAACUGAUAGGGUUAGCAGUCUAAAUUUUCUAAAUAUAACAUUUAGAUAUUGAUAAUUGAUACUUUAAAUUAACUGAAGUUAGGUAAGAAAUCAGAAAUAUGUAUAAAAGUUUUCAACCAAUAGUAAUGCUGCGACAGGCGAAAUAAAAGCAAUUUCUAAAGGUAAGUUAUUCACUUUUCCAUUUUCUUUUUUUGACUUUUUUAGAUACUCAAAGACUAAAUGGGGCAAAUUUGGAUAAAUUCAGUCUUUGAGUAUCUAUUUUAGGUUUAGGUUCAAGCUUGGUACCUAUUCUGAGUUUAGGGUUAGAGUUAAGUUUCCCCUUGAUGGUGAAUUUGAUUUUUUUAUAGGAGGACAAUGAAUUAACACAAAUAUAACUGGUUCACAACUGUGAAAAUUAUAAACAAACUGAGUAUAACCAUAUGACACUUCAAAGUCGGAUCAAGUUCAAAGUUAUUUCUGCUGUUUUAGUUCAAAGAGAUCUUUUCAAACUCCGAUCAAAUAAAGUUUUUAACUCUCCUUCUGCUCUGGCAGCGAGUUCACCAACAAUCCAAAGGUAAUGGCACAUUGAAGGUGAGCUCUUACAUCUAGAAAAGCUGUCCUGGGGUUUCGCUCACCGUCUUGCAUCCUGAGUCCAGUGUGUUUUCUGUCGUCUGUUAGCUCAAAAUAUGACCCCUAAAUCAGGUACCUCAGAGCUUUUUAACUUUAGGACAGUAGGCUGACCAAAAUGUGAAUCCUUCUAUCUAGUCCAAUCUGAUAAUCGGAGAAAAAUGCAUUAUAAACUGUUUAAAGAAAAACUUUUUACACCUGUUGAUGGUUUUAUUUAGUUUCAAGGUCAUGGAGAGUCAUCAGUUUUAUUCUAAGGCCGUUUCGUGAUCAGUUAAAACCCCAGCUAUCGAUUAUUGCAGCUUUAAAUAUUCAUCUUUUAACACCUCGGUGUUAUACUUAUGUAAUGCUCCCACCUCACUGGGUACACAUUCUCAGCUGAUGCAUCAUAAAGCUCGCUUUAAAAAUAGUUUAUGGUGUAAGUGUCAUCUAUGUUUGCGCUGUUGUGGGAUGCAGGUGAUGACUGAGCAAACCCGUUGUAGGUGUGCAGCAAUGACGUGAAAAACAAACUUGGUGGGACUCCAAGAGAAGCUCCCAAAAAAGCUGAAUGGGUUUCCUGCCAGUGAUUCAGGCCUGCAGCCAGAUGAGUUUUUUUACAGGCUGAAUAAGAAGCAGCAGCGUUCAAAUCCUGAUCUGUUAUUGACUUGAGUGUCCCAGUGAGUCUUUUCUAUCUGUUGAAUAUCUGUGAGUUGGGGGCACGCUCCAGCAGGAAGAGGGCGGAUACCGUCUCUCAAAGCCGGCUGUCAGCCCGCCUUAUUGAUGCCGUGCCACCACCGGCUCCCUGACUGAUUGCUGGAUGAACAUCCUCCUGAUUGAUGUGACAGACAAUCGGCCUCCUGUCCCAGCCCCCCUGCCCUCCCACAAUCCCCUUCUGCGAUUUUACUCAGCAGAAUCCACGAGCAUGAGCUGGUGGAGUGUUUUCACCGCAACAACCCCUGAGACCUACUUCAAAACUUUCUGGCGUUGGGGUUUAUCCAGCAGGCUGGCUGGCAUCAGCAGCAGAUUGAUGCAGUUGGUCCUGUGAUGAAAAGGGACUUUU
rnacentral:lncRNA from 1 species